UAAUGCCGGAUGCUCCAGUUGAUCGCAUGGUCUUCUGGGAAAGCUUUCGCGGUAUGGGAUGGGGUCGCGUCCUAUCAGCUUGACGGCGGGGUAACGGCCCACCGUGGCUUCGACGGGUAGCCGGCCUGAGAGGGCGACCGGCCACAUUGGGACUGAGAUACGGCCCAGACUCCUACGGGAGGCAGCAGUGGGGAAUAUUGCACAAUGGGCGCAAGCCUGAUGCAGCGACGCCGCGUGAGGGAUGGAGGCCUUCGGGUUGUAAACCUCUUUUAUCGGGGAGCAAGCGAGAGUGAGUUUACCCGUUGAAUAAGCACCGGCUAACUACGUGCCAGCAGCCGCGGUAAUACGUAGGGUGCAAGCGUUAUCCGGAAUUAUUGGGCGUAAAGGGCUCGUAGGCGGUUCGUCGCGUCCGGUGUGAAAGUCCAUCGCUUAACGGUGGAUCCGCGCCGGGUACGGGCGGGCUUGAGUGCGGUAGGGGAGACUGGAAUUCCCGGUGUAACGGUGGAAUGUGUAGAUAUCGAAAAAAA
rnacentral:rRNA from 1 species